CCUGUUUGACCUUCGAAUCCAAGAGUGGGUUGGGCCUGUUAAACAAUGUAGGCGACCCAUACUUGGUUUCAAGGGUUAGCAGGA